UUUUUUUUUUUUUUUUUUGUCUGUUUUUGUUGCUAAUUGUCUGCCAACCAGAAUGGAAGCUCCUUGUUAGCCACCAAGGCAAUACCUGGUGCCUAGUAAACGCCUGUGGAAUGAACAGAGGGGUCGAGAGUGGAUGGAGUGACGAUACGCACGCAGAACUCGCAUGUGCUGUGCGUACACGCGUGGUGCUGUGCCGGGUGCAGGGGACCGGAGAUGCACACGCUGUACAGGGAGACCGCGGCCACCACCUCCGGGGAGUCUCAGGCAUCUGGACAACUGCUCGGCGAGUGCUAGCAACAGCGCCCUUGUGGACACAGAGGGAGGGACCUGUGUUGUUGCAGACACCUGGCUGGCUCCCCGCAUUGGCUCCCUUUUUCGAAUGUAUCUCCCAGGUCCAGAUGUAAAGAACUACGUUUCCCAGAAUCCCCUGCAGCCCAUAUGCUGCCCAGAAGGAGACUCCGCCUGCGAAAUGCUGGAAAUGCUGUCGCUGUCUCCCUGUCGGAGGCCAAGAUCCAGAGGCAGAAGGGGGGCCGCCUGGAGCAGAUCUGGCACUUGCGAGGCUCGGCAGGUACAGCAGCGUCCCAGCAUCCAGACACCCAUCCUGGGCAGGCAAUAGGCUAGUUCCUGAUCCUGGAUUGCGGGCAGAGCUGUUCCAGAAUUCGGCAGAACCCGUGGCAACCUCCUGCCUCCUGUUUGAGAUAAACACGUAGCUCUCUAGGUAGGUCAACUCUGUGUUACUCGAGAGUCAGUUCUGGAGGCCCAGCUAAACGUACUCCUCCAGGCUGUCGCAUCAUUUUGGAGGCCCCGAAUCCCUGUGGGACGUCGCCUGCCGUGGCUGGGACGUCUGAACGGAUGAAGAGGGUGUGACUGUGCCGUGCCGCCCUGCCCUGCUCACCACAUUUACAGAAGCCUCAGCAGGUCCCAGAAUAUUCUGAGAAAAAGUGAAGACCAGCCCACCACCUAGAAGCUCCGGCCACAAGACCAAGAAGCACCCAGACAUCUGGAGUGUCCAGGUGGCUCCCUGCUCUGCUCACCUUCCCACCCAUGUCUUUAGUACAAGACCUGGUUGACUGGCUGCUCCAAAGACCCUGAACAGCAGCAAAUAUGAAAUUCUUUUCCUAGGCUUCAUGACAUGGUUUAGGGGGAAAAAAGGCCAGAGGUCUAUGUCUUUGUGUGAUCUGGUCCUGGCACCACCACUGAGGCAGCUGCCAGACUGGAAGAGCCACCCACCCUUUCUGGUCUCCCCGGUUCUCACUGAGAAAUGGGAAAAAGAGAAACCACACCAGCUUCCCUCUGGCUUUAAAUGUCUAGGACCCCUUUCUGCUCUUCUGGGAAGACACGUGUGUGUGUGUGGGGGGGGUAUUUGUGGGUUUGGUGUGACUGUGGCGUGUGUGUAUAAAACCUAUCCUCACCCACUGACCUGCACAGGGCACUGUCCCUGCUCCCCAGCCUGCCGUGUUGGUCCCCAGAGCUAGAGAAAGGUGAUUUCAAUUUUUUUGUGGUUUCUUAAACCACAGAACGCAUCAAGCACGUGCAACUGCUCUGGGGCCAGCCCCGUGUGCCACUGCCGGCCUCGGCCAUGUGUCCACUCCUGUUUUAGCCCCACCCUCCUGUGUCCCUCACCCCUGGGUUAUUCUGAAGUAAAUCCAGCCGGGUGUGUUUCACUUAUGUCUUUAAAAGACAAGGACAGAGCUGGUCUGGAUGGUGAUGAAAACGCUGGCUGGAGGAAGCAUUUUGCAUCCUGAUGUUGUCUGCAAAUUCAGGUCACCUUUUCCCCAUUUGCAAAAGCACCGCAUCCAGAACAGAUGCUCCAGAUGCCCCGCAGGGACUACGACACCAAUAAGAACAUCCACACGCGCUGAUUAAUUAGAAAGCAGCUUUUCGAACUUCAGGAGUGAUUCUAGGGUGGUCUAGCGUCAACCGUCUUCAGAAAACGAUGAACACAGGAUGGAAAGUGGGCGACGUCUUUUGCUGCCUUCGCACUCCAGGCCCCCAGCUCCUGCGCCACCUGCCCAGCUCCGCACCCUGCAUCUGAGGGUCAGUGUCACGGUGAUGAGUGGACAGCCAGGGCCCCGGGGGACUGAGGCUCUGGACUGGACCCAUGUCUGUCCUUGGCUCUACUGCUCAGAAAUGUGUGGCUGGACACACCAGGCCUUCUCUGAGCCUCCGUGACCCCACCGGCGGAAUGGGAACGCUCACGUCAAAGGCCGUCUCAUCAGGCUGCCUGGGGAUGAGACGAGGUCCCGGGAGGCCUCUGCAGGAGGCCUGCCGCAUGGGACGUGCUCCCGUUGUCCCAGGACCGUCUCCCUGGUUCCCAAACUGAGAUGAAGGCUCCCCGUGGCCAGUGUCGGCCUGUGCAGAGCCUCAGCCGCCUUGCCGGUCAGCUGUAGAAACCCGUGCUGACCCGAGAGAACAGACCAAAAUGCGAUCCCCAAAGAGAGAACACUGCCUCGCUAGCCUGCUCCUUCUGGAUCCUCUGCCCUUUCCCCCGCUGCUUGAGUGAGCUUGACACAAGGCGGGCAUUCAACCUCACUCUCGCGGGGAGGAAAGCAGGGAAACACCCUUUCUGAACAGAAAGGACUCAGUUUGCACAAGAACUGCCAUUUCAAAGGCCUGGCGGGAGCAAGUGGAGGGGUCUGUAUUUUGGGCUCCUCGACGGAGCAGCCGGCCUGCCCGACAGUAGACAGGCUCCUGAUGAAAUAAACGUUUGGGGCAGCAGAGUCCCCGCUGCGAGCAGCAGGCAGUGCGCUUCCAAGAGCACGUCAGGCCAAGUGCAUCUGUCAUCUCGACAGAGACCCUCCCAGCAACACGACCUGGACGGCAGUGCGGGGCCCAGCCUGCGCAUGAAUCUCUCUCCCAGCCAAUCCACAGGCUACGCCGCCGCCUCGGGACCUGCCUGAGGCCACACCUGGGCAGACGCGUCCAGGGAUGCGUGUACACCUUCGCGGCCGGGCCAUCCAUGGCGGUCUCUGCCCCGUGGAGCUCCAGGGUGACACAGCGUGCAGCCCAAAGACAGCCAAGCUUCUAGUGCACAUUGUGUCAUGGCACUAAGCCAUGUCUAUACAUCAAUCCAUCAGCAAAAGUUACAUCUUGCAGCGGCAUUUAAUCGGAAUUCCAUAGGACUAAACACUGAAUUCCCCUCCCCACGCCCGCCGCCACCCCAGCCACAGAGCCAGCAGAAAAGCCGGGAGCCCUGUCACCUCAGGGUUAAAGGCCCGUGAAGCGCCUGGUGUGUGCUUCCUGCAGGUGACAGGGUGGCGACGGGGAGAGACAGCGAGUCACGCUCAAGAGGGCCUGAUGCCCAGUGGCAAAGGCAGGAGGCCGGGGCUCUCGAGGGUCCCCGGUGCCUAAAGAGGAACCAGAGGCUCAGAGACGGGUGGGGCUCAGCCACACGCGCACCCAGCCCUGCCCUCUCAGAACGGCAGACACCUCCGGAGGUGGCCACGGUGAUUCAGAAGAACCAAGGGCAUUGCCAGGAUGGAGGUCCAGAAGCACCCCCAGGAGUCCCCACUGUCUGGCUUCAGGUGGGCGGCAUGGGAGCGGGACAGUGGCUGGGCUGAGAGGACAGCUCCCAGGACAGCAGGGGCGCCCGAAGGAGGCAGGGCUGGUGACCCGGCAGUCGGAUGCGUGUGCAUGGAGCGGGCUCAGGGGAGGCCUGGGCAUCUGCUCUGGCCCCAAACACCCCCACCCCGUCUCUUCCGCACGAGCUCUCAUGAUUUCUGGGCGGGGGUCUGUGGGGGAGGCCAGGGAAGCUGGGCCUUGGCCAGUGGGGGUCGGGGGCCAUUCUCCCCUGGGACACGCCUGCCCUCUCCCGGAGGGGUCCCCCAGCCUCACUUGUCCAAGUAGCUGUAGCUUGCGGGUCACCUGGCCAUUUCCUGAGAGGCUAAACUUGGGGUGGUCUCAACCCACACAGUCUCCACCCCCCCAGCACUGCAGGGGCCAAUCUGAGCAUCACGUGCAUCUGGAGGCUUCUGGUUCCAACCAGGACCAGCCUGACAUCCAGGACACUGGCUGGGGAGUGGGGAGGGCGAGAGACCGCGCUGGGGGCGUCCUUCCUCCUGUGAGGCUCUGCACUGGACAGGGCAGCCUCGCAGCCACUCCUGGCCACGCUGGUUGGCAACUUUCUUUUUUUUUUUUUUUUUUUUUUUU
ensembl:lncRNA